UAGCUGAAGCCGGUGAAGGGUCCC
rnacentral:sRNA from 1 species